UACGAAGGGGGCUAGCGUUGUUCGGAAUUACUGGGCGUAAAGCGCACGUAGGCGGAUUGUUAAGUCAGAGGUGAAAUCCCGGAGCUCAACUUCGGAACUGCCUUUGAUACUGGCAAUCUAGAGUCCGGAAGAGGUUAGUGGAAUUCCCAGUGUAGAGGUGAAAUUCGUAGAUAUUGGGAAGAACACCAGUGGCGAAGGCGGCAUCCUGGACCGAGAUUGACGCUGAGGCGCGAAAGCCAGGGGAGCAAACGGG
rnacentral:rRNA from 1 species